CAUUAUGGUACAACGGAGGCACCUGGGCUGUCGCUGACCUUUAAAGGAUGUGCACGCCUGGAGUGCUCUCUCACACAUCCAUCUCACCCCUUUGUGCAUCACCGCGUGGGGCCCUCUCUUUUGGCUUGUUCCGGGAGGGGGGUUCACGUUUUUACACGAACAACCCAUCAAUGCAUGUGUAGAAUGUCUUACAUAUUUUAAAUACAACUUUCAACAACGGAUCUCUUGGCUCUCGCAUCGAUGAAGAACGCAGCGAAAUGCGAUACGUAAUGUGAAUUGCAGAAUUCAGUGAAUCAUCGAAUCUUUGAACGCACCUUGCGCCCCUUGGUAUUCCGAGGGGUGCACCCGUUUGAGUGUCGUGAACACCCUCAACCCUCUUGGUUUAUCGACCGGGAGGGCUUGGACUUUGGAGGUUUUAGUUGCUGGCCUCGUUUGAAGCCAGCUCCUCCUAAAUGAAUUAGUGGGGUCCGCCGUGCCGAUCCUCGACGUGAUAAGUACGCUUCUACGUCUUGGGGUUUUGCACCGUUUUCGCUUCCAACUUCGAGUUGCGACUCGACCUUUAUCAACCUUGACCUCAAAUCGGGUGAGACUACCC
rnacentral:rRNA from 1 species